rnacentral:lncRNA from 1 species
AUGGAUAAAUAUAUCAACUUAUCAAGUGCAGCAACCGUUUGUUCAUGCUUGUAGCGUGCGAAUUUUACACUUUAAUGGCGGAAAAACCCUCAAUUUUGCCUGCUAACUUGAAUUCCGAUUCAUCUACCAUAAGUAAGUUAUUAUAAUCUCUCUGUCUUGGUAUUCGUAACGGUUUAAUUUGCUAUCGAUUGAUGCUCUUUAUAGAGUGAUUCAGUUUCAAACAGUUGGUAAAUGCCAGAAUCCAUCACAAGUGAUCCAGUUUCAAACAAUAGUGCCGUUUAGGGCUAUUAGUUGCAUGUAAAUCGGUCUAUGAAACAUGGGUUUUACAGUUGUUGGUGAUCUUUGAAGGUUUUAAAGAUUCCUUCUUUGAAUGUGAAAUGGCAUUUGUGAUUGCAACUUGAAGACAACGGUGAUGUUUGAUGUGAAGAUAAAGAUCAAAUAUUUGUACCGGUUUGCCAUUAUAAGUGGGUGUUGCUGUUCAAGUCUUUUAAACGAGGAAGCAAAAGUGCACCAUCGUCGAUUUGCACCUGCUUCCGUUUCUGGCGUCACUGUGUUUACAGGUAAACCCUCAGUCGAUCCUUCAUGAUGGCCAUGUUUUGACCGCCUAACUAUUGAAGAUGGAUCUCUAAUCUAAAAGCACAAAGAAGAGGUCAUUUGAUGCAUGCUGUAUGGGGUGGCAAAGCUCAUUGUAUUUUACAACAGGUUAAAAUCAAGGUGGCAUUUCAUAGGUCAGAUUGCAGGUCACAUUCUAAUGGUAGCGGGUCAGAUUGCAACUUAAUGUGUAACUUAUAGCUAUAAAGGUUUGUACUCAAUUUGUUGCAACAUUAUUAACCAUAUUUGUUGUUGUUUACCUAACAAAUUAUAUAGAACAAUUCGGGAACCACGGCGCAACGCGCGGGGUUUAAUACUAGCAUAUUAUAAACUUGUAACACAAAUGCGCAUCAUGUAGUUGUACAAUGUGCAAAAAGUCUUAUAUAUGUUGUAUAUGUUGUUUAAAACCUCUAUAAUUUGAUAGUCUUGAACCUGUGGUGUGUAGCCAAACUUCAAAGACUAUGAUGGUUUUGCCUGAGCUUUUAUUUCUUGCCAGGAAACUGUGCAACUAAGGUGUUUGAUAAAAUGAAUCAUGGUGUCUUUUGGUGUUUGGUUGUCAUGUUUUGUAGUUGGAGUUUUAAAACCUCUAUUAAUUGAUGCCUUCUUGAAGCUGCAACCAUGCAUCAAAAGUUCUCCUAACCGUGACUAUGAGAAAGAAAGUAAGAAACUAACCUAAUAUUCGCAUAAUAGGGACUACUUGCGCCAAACACGAGCAACGAAUAUCAAUCGGAAAAACUUUGUAACAAAUCUGCGACCCGAGUACGAUAGAUGCUAUGACAAUCAUCCAAGAACCAUCACAAUGAUAAGGACCGUUUAACACAAUCCAAACUGAUUCAACGUAACCGGGGAAAAGUUCCAAUGUUUUCACUGUUGAAUUUGUUAACGGUACAUUCUCAUAGUAAAAAA